CAACCAGCUGCAAGACAAAGCGGGAGAAGGGAAAAGAGAAGUUUCAGGUGAAUUACGGAAAAAAUGCAACAAGCCAUGACUAAUAUUAAUACUUUCUUGGUCAUUCAAAUGCUGCAACUGUCAAAUAAAAUCCCCCCACUCUUGUUUAUCUCACAGCCCAAUUAGGUCUCCAGCAUUCAGUUUAAAGUGCACAGUCGAAAGUUCAUCCGAGGCGAACAAAACAAACAAUCAGGUUCAACUCUACAUGUGUUCAUUCACAGCUUUCAAAAAGUGACAAAUGCAAAGUUACGGAGGCACAGUGAAGAGUAUGAAGGCAAAUUCAGCAUGAAAUUGUCUCAUCGCGUUGAAUAAGAGACUGAAAUCUGCCUCCUGGGACUUCCGAACAUCUGCUAUUGUUUUUCAUCAUAACAGCCCCGAGAGAAUAAAAGCACAUCAGUAUUCAAGGGAAAGGAGAGGCAGCGCCGUCGACAUGCAAGAUGUUUCCACUGAACACAAACGCCAGGUGAAUACAGAGCAGGAGGAAGCUAAUAGGUCAAGGAGGAGCAGACGAGUCGAGGGCGAAUCCCCACAAGCUCGAUUUCGAAGGAAAUUCUGGAGGCUGCGCUGAUUAUAGAAGGAUAAAAGACAGUAAAAUAUCAAUCAGCAAUCUGUGUUCGGAGCUAAACACAGCAGGAACUUUAACUGAAAGCAGUGGCGACAAAAAGAAGAUCACACCCUCGAUAGCGUGCUGUGAUGUGAAAACCCCGCCACGAAACUAAAACGGGUAAAGAAAAAAUAAGACACCUUUGGGAGCCUGCAGGAACAAAAGCCUGAACUGAAAACAUUUCCUACAAGUAUUUUCUCUGAAGGUUUGAGUGACCGACAUCCUUCAACUCGCCUCUUUGAUCCAUUUUACUUCACACAGGCUGAGACGUCAGCGCUGACGCUGAGAGACCCCGAAGAUCGACGCAAAAACACAAACUUCAACAAAACACAACUAAAAGCUAAAAACAUUCAAGAACAAACUGUUUUCCGCCUGGAUUCUGAGCUUCAUUUAGCACAGUGACCUAAAAGUAGAAAUCCCACCUUUUGUUGCAGGUUACAUUCAUUUCUCUCUGGCUUGUUUGUACAUACAACAUCAUUACUUCAUUGUUUUAACCUAUUUAUGUGAAAUGUUGUCAUACUUAGACCAUAAAUUCUAGCGUUAUGAACAAAAGCGUGUUUUGUGAAGUCACUGUGACCUUCCACCACCAAAUUCUGAUCAACUCAUUGUUGAGUUCAAGUGAACGUUUGUGCAACUUUUUAGGAAAUUCACAGAAAAUGUUCAAAAGAAACCACAUUUACAGAACAUUAUGGGCAGACAACGCCCACCUCAGCAGAUUUAAAUAAGUUCCUCAAUCAGUAAUCAGCAGGAAACACAUAAAAUCUGGUCGGAGGUCAUUAAACGCCACCAAAGUCUUUGUCAUGGUGUCCAUUGCUAGCUAAAUCCUCACAAUGUGUUCUCCUGUUUGUUAACAUGGAACCUGUAGUCUGAGUGACGCCUCCUCUCGUCGCUACAGUAAUAAACAGUAAGAGGCUCCACCUGGUGGAACAACCGGGUACUACAGCUGAUCGACAACAUUUUCUGACAAGCACCUUGAGAAAACAGGUUUUCUCCAUCCUUUGGAGCCUGUGGAGCCACAGUACACCCUAACCUCUAGGUCUGGACCCCAAUAUCUGAAUAUUCAGCGGUGAUAUCCGGAUAGCAAUUUUGAUAUUCGAGUAUUCGCCCGCUACCGCCGUUGGAAACAGAAGUGCGACCGGUAUCCUAAACUGGCAUUAGGAGCCAAGUACUGCCUGUGCGUCCCGUUGUCAAGCAUCUAUAUACACUGGAUUGAUUUUAAUAACUUUAAUGGACAUGAAGAGGAUGUUAUCUAGAAAAAUGGUACCAAAUUGGGACUUUGUAUUCACAGAUACUAAGUAUGAAAUGACUGGGAUCGGAUUCAGGGAAAAGAAAAAAAACAAAAUAAAACUAAACAAACAAAAGAAAUCUCAAUAAAGACAUCCCUACAUUUUGUCAAACUACAGAAAGGAAGGGAAAGCCACAAAAAUCUGGACUGAGAAUACAAACAAGUCUACAAACGCAGCAAGCAGCCGGAUGUCAUCCAUCACCUACAGUUAUCUACACAAUCCAUGCCUGUUUGUGCACAUUUCACUAUGAACUGGUGGGAAUGUCAGAUAUGCAGACUUUAAAAAAAAAAAUUGCAUAAUAGCAUCAAAAAGUCUCCAUCAUUGCCCUCACAAACUGCUGUCGACAGUUUGGAUGCAAAAAAAAAAAAGUGCUUGCAGGUUGCCAGGUGUUUCGUAUUUUAACUAAAACAGAACUUCAUAAUCAUAUUACAAUUUACAUAUUACUUUUUCAUUUUUUUUCUUUUUUAAAAUAGUCAGAUUCAAAUAACCACAGUGACAACUUGUGUAUGCUCCAUAAAGUCUGCAUUAACUGACCUAUUUCAUCACUUAAGGGCCGCAGAAACAAGGUGAAUCGGUUGAGACAACACGGACAUACAGUGUCAUCCUUUAAGUUCAUAUGGUGAACGUAUUUGCAGACGGUUGCUCAUGUACAGAACCACCAGUUAUUCUUCAUUAUGAUGCUACCUGGGGAAUGCAGCACUAAUAGUCUCCCUUCCAGCUCUGUUUUGGGUCUCCUCCUACAUUUCAAAGACAUAUCAGGCUCUUUAGCUGCCAAACGCUCCACUGCUAGUUGCGCACUUUGUCUAUUCUUAGCAGAUAAGCGUGUUUCAGGUUUUUAGAGCUUUUGCACUGAAAAAUCACAAUAUGGACCCUUUUAGACAUUGAAUAGGAAACAUGGCUGCCUCAUCACUCUGUUAAAGUGGAAUAAAUAAAUAAAUAAAUCACAGCAUUUACCACUUCAUAGACUGCCUUGCUGCCGACAAUAUGCACCAACGCCAAACGCCUGUACGUCAUAAUCUUGUUUUGGUCUGUACAUUCAUGACACUAUGCAGUUUUCGCCUCUUCUGUGUUGGAAAGUGAUAUUUAAAUGUUAAUAGCUCCGAUCGAGUAAGGCUGCUGGCACGAUGUUUACAGCAAAAGCUCAUUUAGACACAUUCAGAUGUCAUCGGUUUAGCAGAUAGAAGGUCUGAAAGGGGCUUGAGAGAGUGAAUAACAGUUAACUUUUAGGCUGGACAACUAAAGAAUAAGCUGAAACUCACUAAAAAGCUCUGAAAAGCUGUCGCAGAUCAUCCAGAGUUUCGCAUUAAUGUAGCUUAAUUACCACAAAUUACUCCGUACACACAGCCUUCACAUUAACACUCACAUUACUAUGAUAAAAACAUCAAUAACAAUUAGUCAUUAGCUGCUCCUUUUCCAUUACUUGUGAAGUUUCUUCUCAGCCAAAUUCAGCAACCGAAAACACCUUCACACUAUGGCCGACAUCUGACCUGUUAGCGCCUCGUUACGCAUCAAUUAACACAAACAACAACAAUUAGAGAGACUUGUCUCGUCAGUACACCACUGUGUGCAAAUAUGCGGUGUGACUGGCACAUCCGCGCUCCCUCCUGCAGAUUCAGACACGUAAACUCAUUUGGCAAAUCGAAUUCCUCAGAAACCGUUUGGUCUAAUAAAAUUCCACAUCGACAAGAAAUCACACGCAGCUGCAGCAGUAAAAUAACAACAUGCUGUAACCUAAACCUCCGGCGGGGGUUGAGCAGACGUCACAGCUCGACGGUAAGGUUUCUGCCACUUCGGCGAAACACAGUGAAGCGCACGUUGAUUUAACAGGUAAUCAUAUCAAUCGAAUACUGGCCUAGCUUUCAACCUGUGCAGGGUUUCAAAUGUCCAAGGUGUCACUUGAGUUCAGGAGCAGAUUAUUAAACUAGAUUUAAGCAACAGCACCACUGAAAACAUGCUGCUGUGGUGGGAAACAGAUUUCCUUAUGAGCAACACAAAGUGCUGUCUGUUCUAAGCAGUAGCCACGUUUCCAGAUAAACUGUUAAGCAAAUUUCAAGAGAGCCGUUUAAAAUGUCACAGGGAAAAAAA